CCUGGCCUCCGCAUGUCGAGUUUUACAUGUUCUCCCCGUGCCUAUGUGAGUUUUCUCUCAAUUAGUCCACUACAGACAUUGCCAUCAUUUCUGCAAGUAGGAAUUAGUUGCAUUCCUGAAGGUCCUCCAAUGAAUUCAGUCGCAUUUGGACUUGGAGACAUUUCUCUAUGUUCGUCGAAAACUUUACUUUAUGAAAGCAGACUGAGAGCCAGCGUGUGUCCACAGCCAAGAGCCACAGAGCCCAUUGUAAAUGCUCAGUGUGUUACUUUCCCUAUUUUAAUUAGUGAAAAAGUUAAUGCCUUUGUAAUGCAGCCUCAUUACUAUGGAUGGCCGUAGGGGGACUACACCAGCGCACAUCUGUUGUUACAGCCAUUCCAACUCAGGAGGUCGGCACGGCGCAAUAUCACCUCGUAGAACGGUAAUAUUGAUUGAAAGAGCAAAGCCUACUGCUGUUUGAUGGAUUCACCCACGAAAUAAAACGACUCGCUCGCCAUUUAUCAAGUAACAAUUGAGAAGUGACAAGCAUAAGACCGUGUCUGGGCCCCUUGCACAUAAUGUCUUAACACGGCAGGGGUUGACCCAAGGUUGUCCAUCGUCCAUAUUUAUAUUCUCGUACAGUGAUUCUCAAAGUGCACUAGUGGUCAUCUCUGUAGUGGGACAUGAAAGAAUCACAUGCAUGUUAUUUGCGACAUGUUUUAGUCUGUAGUGAGAGGUCCCGACCCUUUCAAGAUUGCGUUCAGGAGGAUUAGGAAGACUGAGACAGACUAGGCCCAAAAAGACACACUAAUCCUCUGCUUUCUCGCGCUGAUCGAUGAGGGCCAGUCGAGGCGCGCUGUAUUUUCUCUUGCACAUCUGUGCAUGCGUUCAUGCGCAUGCGUGCAUGCCUAUGUGUGUGUCUUACCCAACUUGGAGUGCCCAAAACAGAAGACACAUCCGUCUGCUCCAUUCACGACCGACUGAAUCACCUCGGCAACCGUUCCUGCGCACACUUCCGCCUAGCAACAGAUGAUAGAUGGAUCACAAGACAGAUGCACAGAUGGAUAGAAGAAUAUGGAUAGAAGUGUAUGAUGGGUGGCAGGUUGAGGUACCGAUGAGUCGGGCCACCCACUGACCUGCGACGCAUCAGGAGGGAAGGCGGCGUCAAAGGAAGGAACUGGACUCCGCCAGGUUGGACUGAGACGCCGGACACACACGCACCAUCACUUUCACCUGAGGGCCACCAAGAAGAAAUGUCACAAGAGAGACGUGAACACAACUGAAUCCAAAUGUAAGUAGACGGAACAUGCGGAGCUUCUUUGGAACGGAGCAUGGGGUGUGGUGACCAUCGGAAUUUUGGGUAGAUUCCUGAAUGGCUCGUCCACUUCGGGAUGAAAUUGUCGCGCAUCAAGGCCGGUCGGUACACAAACGGCCCCCUGAGGGAAGUUUUAACUGAAAUGUAGCCCGUCACAAAAAUGAGUUUGACACCCUUCAGUCUGAUCCUUGAGAGGCCCUGUCGAGCCUAUAGAUGUCUGCCUCCACCACACCUUAUUUAAAUGAUCAGACUUGUUAACAUGCUUUUAAAAAGAUGAUCAUGAGCUGAUCAUUUGAAUUAGGAGUGUUGGAGGAGGGACACAUCAGAACAAUCUGGAUAGGAGCUCUUGAGAACUGGACUUGGGCCCAGGCUCCACUCUAAUAUGCGCCUUGCCAACUACUUGAACAAUUAAACGCCUCUUGAGGAAAAAAGAAACAGCUUGUUAUGAAAGCAGCAUCAGAAACUUAAGAAGGGAAUAAUUUGUUCCCCAUCCAAUUUGCAACGCAUUAGUAGCUAGGAACCAAAAAUAGAUGUUUCGAAAGUAAUGCGAGUAAUAAUUCUCUGUCAACCAAUCAACAAAUAUUCGUUUGUACGCCUGCCUGAAAUAAAGCAUUUGAACAAGUCCUCCUCUCAAAUUAAAGGCCUUGUCCUGUCUGAGCUUGAAUAAAUGAAGGCCAUUAGCCAUUAUUUGAAGAAUUAGGGUAACUCUCAAGA